AACGAACGCUGGCGGCAGGCCUAACACAUGCAAGUCGAGCGCCCUUUCGGGGGAGCGGCGGACGGGUGAGUAACGCGUGGGAAUAUGCCCUUCUCUACGGAAUAGCCUCGGGAAACUGAGAGUAAUACCGUAUACGCCCUGUGGGGGAAAGAUUUAUCGGGGAAGGAUUAGCCCGCGUUGGAUUAGGUAGUUGGUGGGGUAAUGGCCUACCAAGCCGACGAUCCAUAGCUGGUUUGAGGAUGAUCAGCCACACUGGGACUGAGACACGGCCCAGACUCCUACGGGAGGCAGCAGUGGGGAAUCUUAGACAAUGGGGGCAACCCUGAUCUAGCCAUGCCGCGUGAGUGAUGAAGGCCUUAGGGUUGUAAAGCUCUUUCAGCUGGGAAGAUAAUGACGGUACCAGCAGAAGAAGCCCCGGCUAACUCCGUG
rnacentral:rRNA from 1 species